AUACGGAGGGUGCAAGCGUUACUCGGAAUUACUGGGCGUAAAGGACGCGUAGGCGGUUUAGAAAGUCAGAUGUGAAAGCCUAUGGCUUAACCAUAGAACUGCAUCUGAAACUCCUGGACUAGAGUGAGCGAGAGGUCAGUGGAAUUAGUGGUGUAGGGGUAAAAUCCGUAGAGAUCACUAGGAAUACUCAUAGCGAAGGCGACUGACUGGAACUUUACUGACGCUGAGGCGUGAAAGCGUGGGGAGCAAACAGAAUUAGAAACCCUAGUAGUCC
rnacentral:rRNA from 1 species